CAGAGUUCAUGCCCUAACGGGUAGAUCUCCCACCCUUGUGUAUCAUUACCGUUGUUGCUUUGGCAGGCCGUCAGGCUUCGGCCCGGCUACCGGCUCCGGCUGGUAAGUGCCUGCCAGAGGACCCAACUCUUGUUUUUAGUGAUGUCUGAGUACUAUAUAAUAGUUA
rnacentral:misc_RNA from 1 species